ensembl:lncRNA
AAACCCAUGCAGCCAACCCCAUCACACUAUUUUCGACGAAGUCCAAAUAAUCACAUACCCAAGAAUAUUUAUAUAUUUAAAAACAAAAAGUGUACACCCUAUAUUAAAAACUAUUUUUUUGUAUUUACAGCCAAGAAGGAUAACGGGCUCCUUAUGGACCCUGAAUGACUUCGUUGGAGCAGAUGACACAUUCGAUGACACAGAUGCAAUUCUCCCGUACUGCACAAACGUUUUUUACAACACACCGAGAACAGAGAAUUUAAACUUCCUGCCAACUCCCCCGGGAACCUCCACCCACUCUCUACACAUUCCAGGCCCCAACAAGCAACGCAUAACGAGGGCUCUUGUACAUUGCUCUAAAUCCACCCCCCAGAAAAGUACUACUGUGCAGGGAACUUGUGGCUUCACGAUCAGGCACUCCAUGGACACGGCUUGAAUAUGUUAAAACAAGGACAAAUGCAACGAGACCGGCCCUGCAGAAUCGGGAACAUUUGAUGAAAAAAGUCACGACCCCCGGUUUCCGCGACUCGUCAGAACAGCCCGCGCCCAAAAAGCAGAGACUCCUCCCCGGCGUAUAACGGCAAAUAAGACACCAUACAUCUAGAGCAGGGGGAUCCGGCUCACCGAACAUUCCCAAUGAAAACACCCAAAACGGCGGAUAUCCCUGUUUUAAAUGACAUUUCAGAGGCAGACGACCGGCUAUUAUGGGAUGCAGCCAACCUUCUAGAGUCUGCCAAUUCUACGGUGGCAACAUCCGGAUCUGAAAUAGAACAAGCAAGGUUUUUCACAGUCUUUUCCAGGGCUUUGAAAUCGAGGAAGGUUUUGCUACACAAACGAAUGAGGGUUUUACUUGAGAGACAGUACCGAGACGAUCUCUCAUUCUGGCAUAGGACAAUUCCACGCAUGUUAAACAGCAAACCGAUUAAAAACGCAAAUACAGGCGCUAAAAUCAUAUAUGUAACACGGAUCAUUCCAGAAAUACCCAAGAACGCACAUCCUUAAUUAUCCAAAUGGCAUAACCACCAGAACAAGUUGAGACAGUUUAAAGCCUCUUAUCACAGAUACCGCCAGAACUCCUUGAAAUUAUUAAUCGUAUGAACGAGGCGGGGGUAUCAGACAUAAUACCGAUAGAUGAAAGCAUAUUAUCACAGAUUCUAGCCGAACUUCUAGAAAUGAUUAAUCGUAUGAACGAGUCAGGGACGCCCGAUGAAAACCUGUUAUCACAGAUUCCUGAAGCCCUCAUAUCCCUAAUUAAUCAGAUGAACGAGAGCCAGAUAUCUUCGGCAUCCCACACGCCAUCUUCGACAUCCCAACCGUUAACGCCCAUGUCCGUAGAGUCUGGAACGCAACACAAUGUUUUUGGGGAAUUGGAAAAUAGUCUAAUAAAUCAGGAGGGAGAUGGUAUUGAUCGAGGUGUCCGGGUUGUGUACCGAAAUAAAUUCAACAAUACAGAGAUUCGACAGUUUUUCAAUUUCACUUGGGUGAAUCAGAAUCUUGACAAUGCUGUGUUUUACGUAAUGAUAUUGGACACUCUGAACGAUCUGUUAGACAGGGCAAGAGAUUAUGGCGAACCACGUGAUGUCAUACAGUUGGAAAUUUGUGGAGAUAGCCUGCAUAACACGGUAUCUCUUAUUUUACCCAAUAGCGAAGCAGAUCUUGA